AAAGAAGCGUACUCAAGAGGUGACUCAUUACCAGUAUACCGGAUGGCCGGAGCAUAUGGGACCGAAAGAUGCCGAGGAGAUUAGGUAUUUGUUGAAACUAGUGACAGACAGCGAGAGACCGGUUUUUGUCGUAUGCAAUACUGGUGGUGGACGAUCGGCAGCGUUUGUUCGUGAGUUUUUAGCUUUUUCUCAGGAAAAAUUCACUGAAAAUCGAGAACAUAUCCGAAAUUUCUGAGCAUUUUUCAGUCAUCGAGAGCCUCUUCCAAGCGAUCAAUACAAGUGAAACUGGAGAAAUCAAUUAUCGGAGUCUGAUUGAACAAACGAGAUCAAAGAGAAAAUGUGCUGCACCGGAUCCAAUUUAUUUGGCAUUUGCAUUUUACACGACUCUCACUCUUUUCUAUCCAG
rnacentral:sRNA from 1 species